CUGGGGCUUAAAGGAAAGGUUUUAUAUAUCUUAUAGGAUAAAAAUCUUUUAUCUUAUUCUCCUGCCUUUCUCUCACUAGUGAUCCUACCCCAGUCUCCUCACUCUCCCAUAUUUUCUCCUCCACCUUCUGCCACUUCUUCAUCCUCCCUCAGGUAUCAUCUAUCCAUCCAUUAUAAUGAAACUGUGACCAAAAGAAGGAUAUCAACAAGCAGAAGGCACAUUCCAAGUUAGCUUUACAGAUAGUACUUCUCAUCUUCAGACCAACUGUACUCCCAUGGGUGGGGACAUGGACCUGGAGAAUAAAGAAAGAAGCAAUGGAAAGCUAGACUUCUCUUCCAAACUGGAAAGGUUUCAAGCUCAAGCCUGGCAACAUACAGUUUAUCUAUCAUCUGAAGACCAGCAAAGCCAGCCAAAUUCAAGAGGUUUACAGGCAGUGAGUAUUUUUCUUCUUGUUGUUGCCUUGAGACACUCAUCUCUUAUGAAACUGCUUAGCACUGAGGAGGGGCUGAUUUUCUAGAGGGAAUUCCUGCACCUGGGAAAUCAUUUAUCCCUCAAGUACAGAAGUCUAAUCAUCUGUCUGCCUCCCUCCUAUAUCAAAUUGCCUGUAGUGUUAUUCUGUGUCCUUCGGAGAAAUCACGGAUCUCGGACAUCUGAAUAACUGAAGAAGAAACCGAGUCAUCGUAAUACUGAGAACACAUUCAAUCAAAGUUCUAAAAAAAAAGAUGCCUCCUGAGUAAUACUCUCUGGAAACACUCCCCUGACUCAGGGCUUACUAGCCAUCUCUGGCUCCUUAUCAUCCAUCCAAGUCCCAUUCAACCAAAGGAGUGACCCACAGAAUGAAGAGGUAGUCAAAAACAAUCUUCCAUUUAUUUUUAAAGUUUCCCAUGAGUUUAUGAAUUCUAUUAUCACUAAGAACGAAAGCCACCAACGUGCAAGUGUUCCAGGCCAUUGGGGAGGCACCCAGAGAGGCAGCAGGACGAUCAGUGCCAUUCUGAAUGCCAAAAACAUUUGCCAUGCACUUGGAAUAGGCACCAACAUCUGAGGCAGCAGUAACAAGGGCCACGACUCCCAGUCUUGUAGGAAGAAAGCAGGAGGGCACUCAGACUGCUGUAUUGCCUUUUUUUUAACCCUUACCUUCCAUCUUGGAGUCAAUACUGUGUAUUGGCUCCAAGGCAGAAGAGUGGUAAGGGCUAGGCAAUGGGAGUCAAGUAACUUACCCAGGGUCACACAGCUGGGAAGUGCCUGAGGCCAGAUUUGAACCUAGGACCUCCCGUCUCUAGGGCUAGCUCUCAAUCCACUGAGCUACCUACCCAGCUGCCCCCUGUAUUGCCUUUUAAGACCCACUAAGCAAGGGAAACAAAGCCAAAUCAAGGACUAUGAAAAACACUUCUAACAUAUUGACAUGGUAACUCCCAUUGACUCUUGGAGGAGAGGCCAGAAAUUCACAGAACCGAAAGUAAAUUUGUAAUAAUUCAAUUCAACAAAUUUUUAUCAUUUGCUUAUUGUGUACAAAUAAGAGGCAGCCAUGAUAUGUGUGGUGGAAGAAAUAAUGAAUAUACACAUGAGACCUGAAUUCAAAUUCCAGCACUAACACUGCCUAGCUGAAUGGCCGCUGGGAAAUAACUUAAUAUUUCUGAGUUUAGGAUUUCUCAUCUGUAGGCUGAGAUAGUUGAUGUAAGUCGACAUAAGAUUUAUCUUUUUUUUUUUCUGUAUCCUUACCUUCUGCCUUAGAAUCAUUACUGUGUAUUGGUUGCAAGUCAGGACAUUAAGGUCUAGGCAAUAGGGGUUAAGUGACUUGCCCAGGGUCACAUAGCUAGGAAGUGUUUGAGACCAGAUUUGAACCCAGGAUUCUGUCUUUAGGCCUGGCUCUUAAUCCACUGAGCAACCCAGCUGCGCUAUCCUUGUAAGAUUUAGAUUGUAAGUUCCUUGAGGGAAAAAACUGUCUUUUGCCCCUUUUUUGUGUUUAAUUCUUAGCACAUUGUUUGGCACAUAGUCGACAUUUAAUAAAUGGUUAUUGAUUGAUUGGUUGAUCA
ensembl:lncRNA